ACUGGGAUGACCAACACUGGUAGGUAGAGACAGACUGGGAUGACCAACACUGGUAGGUAGAGACAGACUGGGAUGACCAACACUGGUAGGCAGAGAGACUGGGAUGGCCAACACUGGUAGGUAGAGUGACUGGGAUGACCAACACUGGUAGGUAGAGAGACUGGGAUGACCAACACUGGUAGGUAGAGACAGACUGGGAUGACCAACACUGGUAGGUAGAGACAGACUGGGAUGACCAACACUGGUAGGUAGAGACAGACUGGGAUGACCAACACUGGUAGGUAGAGACAGACUGGGAUGACCAACACUGGUAGGUAGAGACAGACUGGGAUGACCAACAAUGGUAGGUAGAGACAGACUGGGAUGACCAACACUGGUAGGCAGACAGACUGGGAUGACCAACACUGGUAGGUAGAGACAGACUGGAUGACCAACACUGGUAGCUUGGCAUGUAAAGGCGAGGAAGAUGCCAAUGCCACUACAGUAUAUCUCCAUGGAAGUAUGAACCCCCAUAGCUAGCUACAGUUGGGCUCAAUUCCAUUUCAAUUCCAGUCAAUUCAGGAAGUAAAAGUAUCUCCAAUACUUUUCAAUGAGGAAUUGGAGUUUGGUUUACUUUCUGAAAUGAUUGGAAUUUAAAUGGAAUUGACCCCAAUCCUGGUAAAGAGGAGGUUUGGUACGUCCCAAUACUCCAAAACAGAGGUUUCCUUCCUGUCUUCAUAGCCAGUGAAGAGCACAGAGACAGACAGGGAGCCGUUGAAGCCCG
ensembl:lncRNA